rnacentral:rRNA from 1 species
UACGAAGGGGGCUAGCGUUGCUCGGAAUCACUGGGCGUAAAGGGUGCGUAGGCGGCUUUUUAAGUCAGGGGUGAAAUCCCGGGGCUCAACCCCGGAACUGCCCUUGAAACUGGAGAGCUAGAAUCUUGGAGAGGCGAGUGGAAUUCCGAGUGUAGAGGUGAAAUUCGUAGAUAUUCGGAAGAACACCAGUGGCGAAGGCGACUCGCUGGACAAGUAUUGACGCUGAGGUGCGAAAGCGUGGGGAGCAAACAGG